CCGGACCUGACUGCUAUCGGAUUGGUACUAAGCCAUGCGGGUCGUUGUAGCAAUACAAGGCGGACGGCUCAGUAACACGUAGUCAACCUAACCUAUGGACGUGGAUAACCUCGGGAAACUGAGAAUAAACCGCGAUAGAUCAUAAUGCCUGGAAUGGCUUAUGGUCAAAAUAAUUUAUUGCCGUAGGAUGGGACUGCGGCCUAUCAGCUUGUUGGUGAGGUAAUGGCCCACCAAGGCUAUAACAGGUACGGGCUCUGAGAGGAGAAGCCCGGAGAUGGGUACUGAGACACGGACCCAGGCCCUAUGGGGCGCAGCAGGCGAGAAACCUUAGCAAUGUGCGAAAGCACGACUAGGUUAAUCCGAGUGAUUUCUGUUGAAGAAAUCUUUUGUCAGUCGUAAAACCACAGACGAAUAAGGGGUGGGCAAGUCUGGUGUCAGCCGCCGCGGUAAUACCAGCACCUCGAGUGGUCAGGAGGUUUAUUGGGCCUAAAGCAUCCGUAGCCGGCUAUGCAAGUCUCCGGUUAAAUCCAACUGCUCAACAGAUGGGCUGCCGGAGAUACUACACAGCUAGGGAGCGGGAGAGGUAGACGGUAUUCUGUGGGUAGGGGUAAAAUCCACUGAUCCAUAGAGGACCACCAGUGGCGAAGGCGGUCUACCAGAACGCGUUCGACGGUGAGGGAUGAAAGCUGGGGGAGCAAACCGGAUUAGAUACCCGGGUAGUCCCAGCUGUAAACGAUGCAAACUCGGUGAUGCAUUGACUUAUGGUCAAUGCAGUGCCGCAGGGAAGCCGUUAAGUUUGCCGCCUGGGAAGUACGGACGCAAGUCUGAAACUUAAAGGAAUUGGCGGGGGAGCACCACAAGGGGUGAAGCCUGCGGUUCAAUUGGAGUCAACGCCGGG
rnacentral:rRNA from 1 species